GCGUGGUUGAAGCAAUGGAAACAUUUGAUUUUCAAACCACGCUAGCAAUGUAUUAAACCCUUAAAACGAUUAAAACAAUUAUUUGUUUAAAUUUAGUCAUUGACACAAACAAAGAUCUCACACAAUACGAAAUCUUCUAGUACAAGAUAUACUGAACUCCCUUUAACACAAUUUAUGAAAGUGCUUCGAAAGCCCGAUUUACGGAGAAAUCUUCCGUACGAAACUAAUAACAUGGAUACUUAUUUUGAUUUCUGAACAAAUGCCUGAGUUUCAAACCAGACAUUGCUAAGAAAAAGGACACAUAAAAUGAUAAAACAGCUACACUUCCCGUGAAAGCUCUACCAUCCACGAACUGCUGCGGUCCUUCCUGCACAGAGCAAAGCAAUUAAAUAUUUUACCCUUAAUAUCAUGAAACCAUAGCACCUUUCACCUAAAUUUACCAAAAAGGAAACAAGAUUUUCCCCUUUAUCCUUCAUGAAUAUGUACUUUACAUUGUAAUAGAUCCUCU
rnacentral:lncRNA from 1 species